rnacentral:rRNA from 1 species
AACGAACGCUGGCGGCAGGCCUAACACAUGCAAGUCGAGCGCCCAGCAAUGGGAGCGGCGGACGGGUGAGUAACGCGUGGGAAUUUUUCCUGGAGUACGGAACAACCGAGGGAAACUUCGGCUAAUACCGUAUGAUGCCGAGAGGCCAAAGAUUUAUCGCUCUGGGGUGAGCCCGCGUCAGAUUAGGUAGUUGGUGGGGUAAAGGCCUACCAAGCCUGCGAUCUGUAGCUGGUCGAGAGGACGAUCAGCCACACUGGGACUGAGACACGGCCCAGACCCCUACGGGAGGCAGCAGGUGGGGGAAUCUUGGCGCAAGUGGGCGAAAGCCUGACGCAGCCAUGCCGCGUGAGUGAAGAAGGUCUUAGG